rnacentral:rRNA from 4 species
UGUACACACCGCCCGUCGCUACUACCGAUUGAAUGGCUCAGUGAGGCCUUCGGACUGGCUCAGGGAGGUCGGCAACGACCACCCAGAGCCGGAAAGUUGGUCAAACUCGGUCAUUUAGAGGAAGUAAAAGUCGUAACAAGGUCUCCGUAGGUGAACCUGCGGAGGGAUCAUUA